ACUGUUGUCUUAUAGUGAAAUUCUUUCACAAACAUUCUUUUUAAAAAAAACUUUUAAGUAUAUUAUUUUAUUUUGAGAGGAGGCAGAGAGAGGGAGAGAGAAUCCCAAGCAAGCUUUGCACUGUCCGUGCAGAGCCUGAUGUGGGGCUCGAACUUACUAAGAGUUCAAGUGAGAUCCUGACCUGAGCUGAAAUCAAGAGUCAGACAUUUGAGUGACUGAGCCACCAGGUGCCUCUUUCACAAACAUUCUAAUCUUACCUCAGCUGAACUGAGGCACUGGGCUCAGGUGAGGGGAGACCACAGAAAGGAAGCUGCUUCUGUUACCCCACCGUCCUCCGUGUAGUGGGUGCUUCUGUACAAAUGGGGGCUUGAUGUUUAGGUCACAGGGAGUCCUCUGCCGGGAUCUAAUGUCUUUCAGGAGCAUUUUGUUAAACAUUAGUGGAGGUAAGUGUUGGUAGCAUCAGUUAGAAAAACUGAGGUCAAGGGAAACUGAAUUAGUUGACUCUUGACUACUUCCUGGGUCUCAGGUCAUAGGGAACUUCCUGGAUCUAAACCCAGAUGUAAGGAGUCUGAGUUCAAAUUUCGGAUCCCUCAACCAGUUUACUGGACACAAGCAUCUUGAGGAGAGGAGAGUAUGACAAAGGAGAUGCUGCACAUGAGGGACAUAUGAGAGAUCUGUGACAACUGCUUCCCCCUGGGAUCCAUGCUGGGUCCCUUCUUAUCUUCUCAUUUUGAGGAACCGCUGAUCAUAAGGUGCCCUGAGGCUGAGUCUUGCCAGUCCAUUUACGCAGGAGCAAAGAAUGCAGAGAGUUUGCUACGCAGAAGAAAAGGAAAGGGGGUUAAGGGAAGAACAGCACAUUCAUGUGUAUAUUUCUGUUGGUAAUCCCUUUUGCCCCGCUAACAUAGCCAUCCUCUGGUUGAUGCUCUUGUGUUUCACUGAGACCCUGACUUUGGUUUGGGUGAGUAGACUCAGGAAAGGCCUGAUGUGUCCAGAUCAAACACACAAUGAUGCCAUGAACUAAGAAAUAAAUUACUCCCCAAAUUA